GACGAACGCUGGCGGCGUGCUUAACACAUGCAAGUCGAACGGUGAAGGGGUCUGCUUUUGUGGGCCCUGGAUGAGUGGCGAACGGGUGAGUAACACGUGAGUAACCUGCCCCCUUCUUCUGGAUAACCGCAUGAAAGUGUGGCUAAUACGGGAUAUUCUGGGUCUGUCGCAUGAUGGGUCUGGGAAAGAUUGCGCCUUUGGGUGUUUUUGGUGGGGGAUGGGCUCGCGGCCUAUCAGCUUGUUGGUGGGGUGAUGGCCUACCAAGGCGGUGACGGGUAGCCGGCCGGAGAGGGUGGACGGUCACACUGGGACUGAGACACGGCCCAGACUCCUACGGGAGGAAGCAGUGGGGAAUAGUGCACAAUGGGCGCAAGCCUGAUGCAGCGACGCCGCGUGAGGGAGGGAGGCCUUCGGGUUGUAAACCUCUUUCGCCAGUGAAGCAGGCCUGCUCCUUGUGGGUGGGUUGACGGUAGCUGGAUAAGAAGCGCCGGCUAACUACGUG
rnacentral:rRNA from 1 species